rnacentral:rRNA from 1 species
AGUGAACGCUGGCGGUAGGCCUAACACAUGCAAGUCGAACGGCAGCACAGUAAUAGCUUGCUCUUACGGGUGGCGAGUGGCGGACGGGUGAGGAAUACAUCGGAAUCUACUUUUUCGUGGGGUCUAACGUAGGGAAACUUACGCUAAUACCGCAUACUACCUACGGGUGAAAGCAGGGGAUCUUCGGACCUUGCGCGAUUGAAUGAGCCGAUGUCGGAUUAGCUAGUUGGCGGGGUAAAGGCCCACCAAGGCGACGAUCCGUAGCUGGUCUGUGAGGAUGAAGAGGGACACUGGAACUGAGAGGCGGUCCAGACUCCGAGGGGAGGCAAAAGUGGGGAAUAUUGGAAAAAGGGGGCAGGCCUGAACAAGCCAUACCGCGUGGGUGAAGAAGGGCUGUGGGUUGGAAAGCCCUUUUGUUGGGAAAGAAAAGCAGCAGGUAAAUAGACCGCUGGUGUGACGGUACCCAAAGAAUAAGCACCGGCUAACUUCGUG